AUUGAACGCUGGCGGCAUGCUUUACACAUGCAAGUCGAACGGCAGCACGGGGGCAGCCCUGGUGGCGAGUGGCGAACGGGUGAGUAAUACAUCGGAACGUGCCCGGUCGUGGGGGAUAACGUAGCGAAAGUUACGCUAAUACCGCAUACGAUCUGAGGAUGACAGCGGGGGACCUUCGGGCCUCGCGCGAUCGGAGCGGCCGAUGUCAGAUUAGGUAGUUGGUGGGGUAAAGGCCUACCAAGCCGACGAUCUGUAGCUGGUCUGAGAGGACGACCAGCCACAGUGGGACUGAGACACGGCCCAGACUCCUACGGGAGGCAGCAGUGGGGAAUUUUGGACAAUGGGCGCAAGCCUGAUCCAGCCAUGCCGCGUGCAGGACGAAGGCCUUCGGGUUGUAAACUGCUUUUGUACGGAACGAAAAGGCUCUGGCUAAUACCUGGGGCUCAUGACGGUACCGUAAGAAUAAGCACCGGCUAACUACGUG
rnacentral:rRNA from 1 species